GACGAACGCUGGCGGCGUGCCUAACACAUGCAAGUCGAACGAAAAGGCGCUGCUCUUGUGGCUUUCUCGUUAGGGGCGCGCGGGAGUGACACGCGUGUAUCCUCUACCUAUAAUUGGGAUAAAUUCAGGGAACAGGGGAUAUAACCCGGUAUGAUAUUCUGCUCCGCGGGGGUGGAUAGUAAGAUUCGGCGGUGGGGGCAGGACUAGCUGGUUAUCAGCUUGCUGGGGGGGUUGUUGCUUACCAAGGCUAUGACGGGUAGCAGGCCUGAGAGGCUGACCGGCCACACUGGGACUGAGGGGCGGCCCAGGCUGCUACGGGAGGCAGCAGUGCGGAAUAUUGCCCGAUCGGCGGAGCCCGGAUGCAGCAACGCCGCGUGCGGGAUGACGGUCUUCUGGUUGUAAACCGCUUUCGCCUGUGACGAAGCGUGAGUGACGGUAAUGGGUACAGAAGCCCCGGCUAACUACGUG
rnacentral:rRNA from 1 species